rnacentral:rRNA from 1 species
GGAUCCAGACUUUGAUUAUGGCUCAGGACGAACGCUGGCGGCGCGCCUAACACAUGCAAGUCGAACGAGCGAGAGAGAGCUUGCUUUCUCGAGCGAGUGGCGAACGGGUGAGUAACGCGUGAGGAACCUGCCUCAAAGAGGGGGACAACAGUUGGAAACGACUGCUAAUACCGCAUAAGCCCACGGCUCGGCAUCGAGCAGAGGGAAAAGGAGCAAUCCGCUUUGAGAUGGCCUCGCGUCCGAUUAGCUAGUUGGUGAGGUAACGGCCCACCAAGGCGACGAUCGGUAGCCGGACUGAGAGGUUGAACGGCCACAUUGGGACUGAGACACGGCCCAGACUCCUACGGGAGGCAGCAGUGGGGAAUAUUGCACAAUGGGGGGAACCCUGAUGCAGCGACGCCGCGUGGAGGAAGAAGGUCUUCGGAUUGUAAACUCCUGUUGUUGAGGAAGAUAAUGACGGUACUCAACAAGGAAGUGACGGCUAACUACGUGCCAGCAGCCGCGGUAAAACGUAGGUCACAAGCGUUGUCCGGAAUUACUGGGUGUAAAGGGAGCGCAGGCGGGAAGACAAGUUGGAAGUGAAAUCCAUGGGCUCAACCCAUGAACUGCUUUCAAAACUGUUUUUCUUGAGUAGUGCAGAGGUAGGCGGAAUUCCCGGUGUAGCGGUGGAAUGCGUAGAUAUCGGGAGGAACACCAGUGGCGAAGGCGGCCUACUGGGCACCAACUGACGCUGAGGCUCGAAAGUGUGGGUAGCAAACAGGAUUAGAUACCCUGGUAGUCCACACUGUAAACGAUGAUUACUAGGUGUUGGAGGAUUGACCCCUUCAGUGCCGCAGUUAACACAAUAAGUAAUCCACCUGGGGAGUACGACCGCAAGGUUGCAACUCAAAUGAAUUGACGG